AUGUAGGGCAAUCUGUCUUUAAUUAGGGGUAAAUUACUCUUAAAAAUGAAUCCUAGAUAGUUUUCCCUUCAAGUUAAGCAUCUUGU
rnacentral:pre_miRNA from 1 species